CCUACGGGAGGCAGCAGUGGGGAAUAUUGCACAAUGGGGGAAACCCUGAUGCAGCGACGCCGCGUGAGUUAAGAAGUAUCUCGGUAUGUAAAGCUCUAUCAGCAGGGAAGAAAAUGACGGUACCUGACUACGAGGCCCCGGCUAACUACGUCCCAGCAGCCGCGGUAAUACGUAGUGGGCAAGCGUUAUGCGGAUUUACUGGGUGUAAGGGGAGCGUAGACGGCGAUGCAUGUCCGGAGUGAAAGCACAGGGCUUAACCAUGGAACUGCGCUGGAGACUGUGGAGCUUGAGUGCGGUAGGGGGAGGCGGAAGUCCUGGUGUAGCGGUGAAAUGCGUAGAGAUUAGGAGGAAUACCGAAGGCGAAGGCGGCCUCCUGGACCGUAACUGACGUUGAGGCUCGAAAGCGUGGGGAGCAAACAGGAUUAGAGACCCGAGUAGUC
rnacentral:rRNA from 1 species